GAUGAACGCUGGCGGCGUGCCUAAUACAUGCAAGUCGAGCGAACAGAUAAGGAGCUUGCUCCUUUGACGUUAGCGGCGGACGGGUGAGUAACACGUGGAUAACCUACCUAUAAGACUGGGAUAACUUCGGGAAACCGGAGCUAAUACCGGAUAAGAUUUUGAACCGCAUGGUUCAAUAGUGAAAGACGGCCUUGCUGUCACUUAUAGAUGGAUCCGCGCCGUAUUAGCUAGUUGGUAAGGUAACGGCUUACCAAGGCAACGAUACGUAGCCGACCUGAGAGGGUGAUCGGUCACACUGGAACUGAGACACGGUCCAGACUCCUACGGGAGGCAGCAGUAGGGAAUCUGCCGCAAUGGGCGAAAGCCUGACGGAGCAACGCCGCGUGAGUGAUGAAGGUCUUCGGAUCGUAAAACUCUGUUAUCAGGGAAGAACAAACGUGUAAGUAACUGUGCACGUCUUGACGGUACCUGAUCAGAAAGCCACGGCUAACUACGUG
rnacentral:rRNA from 1 species